GGACUACCGGGGUAUCUAAUCCUGUUUGCUCCCCACGCUUUCGCACCUCAGCGUCAGUGUUGGGCCAGAAAGCCGCCUUCGCCACUGAUGUUCCUCCAGAUAUCUACGCAUUUCACCGCUACACCUGGAAUUCCGCUUUCCUCUUCCACACUCGAGCAAGGCAGUCUUGAAUGCAAUUCCCAAGUUAAGCCCGGGGAUUUCACAUCCAACUUACCAAGCCGCCUACGUGCGCUUUACGCCCAGUAAUUCCGAUUAACGCUCGCACCCUCUGUAUUACCGCGGCUGCUGGCAC
rnacentral:rRNA from 1 species